GAAAAUCUCAUUUCCCAUCAGGAGCUCUCUCCACACUGCACCCCUUCCAUCUCCUGGUUCUAAUGACAGUGCCCUCCUUCCCUGCAGUGGAGGGACUGCAUCUGCUAUUUCUAACCCCAGAGUUCUAGAAAAUUCGUUGGGGUUUAACUCUGUUUUUUCCUUCUUGAGAGCCUGAAUGAAAGGAUCAGCUGAACACCAGCCAGGAGCUUCAACACUGUCCCAUCAACUCACACUUGGCCCUUCAUCAGUCCAUCAACGGUUGCAGCCAAGUUCUUCCUACAGGUGUUACAUGCACCGCAGAAAAAGAUGGAAUAGUGAACGGAGUGCAUUUCCCACUAAGAACAGCUAAAAGCCCUGGACAUUUUAUGUAAAACGAACAUGAGAAGACUCUGAAAGACCCUGGUCUGAGUGCUGCAGAAGCUGGGAACCUGGAAACACCAUGGGAACAGGCUUUUAAAAACAAUAACAACAACAAAAAACAAAAUACAAAACAAAACCCAAGAAAUGCCUGCUCUUGCUAACUAAAGAACCAGGGAAGGGGCAACCUAGAAAACUUUUACACAGCAACUUCCCAAUUCCAGCCGACCUCUGCAGAAAAAAAUGCAACCUCACUCCAUCCCAGUCAGCAAAGGCUGAAUAGAGAGCUUGCACCUUCUCCCUUUCCCCUGUUGCGACAAGGUACCCCUAGUGACUCCCAACCCCCUGGCUGGGGUGGCGGCAGAGAAGACCAAGUGGGGAGCCAGGACUUCCAUCCUGGUCCAGUUGACAGAGUGAUUAGCACAAAACAAAAUAAAAUGACCCACGUACAAGCAAGGGCAUUAUGCUGAGUGGAAAAAAAAAAAAAGCCAGUCUCCAAAGGCCACAUCCCGUAUGAUUCCGUUUAUAUAACAUUCUUGAAAUGACAAAAGUAUAGAAAUGGAGAACAGAGUUUGCCAGGGGUCAGAGAGACUGGGCUGGGGAGGGGUGGGUGUGACUAUGAGGGGGUAGCGGGAGGAAGAUCUUUUUGAUGGAAUAGUUCUGUAUCUUGAUUCUGAUAGUUGUUACAGUGAUAAAAUGUGAUAAAAUUGAUAAAAUGGCACAGACCUAUACACACCCAUAAUACCAAUGUCAAUUUCCUGGUUUUGAUUUUAUGCUAUGUAGUUCUUUUUACGUUAUAGAUGUAACCAAAGGGGAUGCCUGGCUGGCUCAGUCGGUAGAGCAUACUACCCUUGAUCUCAGGGUAGAGAGUUGGAACCCCAGGUUGGGAGUAGAGCUUACUUAAAAAAAAAAAAAAUGUAACCAAAGGGGGGAAAUGGACAAAAGGUACAAAGGACCUCUCUGUACAAUUUUUACAACGUCCUAUGAAUCUAUAAUUAUUUCAAAAUAAAAAGUUUAAAGAAAGUGUUAUCCUCCCAUUUUCAUACUUCUGAUAGUCGUUAAUGUUACAAUCCAAAUUUUCGAAGCUCUCUGCCUUCUGGGGACAAUGUUGGAAUUGAUUGCAUUUUCUGCUCCUUUGGAAGCUGGAUGUGGCAUGGGGUUUGAUUUGGUCAUUGAAAUGCAUGCAUAAAAGAGACACUUGGGGAGGAAAGUGUAGAGACCGUUCAAAAUCCAGCACGUGUAGAGAGGAGAAAGGGCCCCCACGUUCCCGAGGCUUCAAGCCCAAGAAGGCAGCUAGGCCUUCGGUGGGAAAAGCAAAACAAGAAGUGAAAAAUCAUAAAAUGAUAGCGUUUACACAUUCUGCGUAAUUACCACCUACUUCAUGUCAUUUGACUCCUGUGUGGGCUUGUGUUUGCCUAUCCCUCUUUCAGUGUCACCUUCUUCUGUUCUUCCCCAUCCUGUCAGGAUGUUUG